rnacentral:rRNA from 1 species
GUGCCAGCCGCCGCGGUAAUACGUAGGAGGCGAGCGUUAUCCGGAUUUAUUGGGCGUAAAGAGAGCGUAGGCGGUUUGUCAAGUCGGAUGUGAAAUCUCCCGGCUCAACUGGGAGGAGUCAUUCGAUACUGAUGGGCUAGAGUGCAGCAGGGGAAAACGGAAUUCCCGGUGUAGUGGUGAUAUGCGUAGAUACCGGGAGGAACACCAGAGGCGAAGGCGGUUUUCUAGGCUGUUUCUGACGCUGAGGCUCAAAAGCGUGGGGAGCGAACAGGAUUAGAUACCCGGGUAGUCC